UUUGAUUUUGGUCCAGAGAAGAGGCGUGCGUCGGGCCUAACACAUGCAAGUCGAGAUUCCAAAAUAAAGGGAUCGGCGAACGGGUGCGUAAUACAUGGAAAUCUACUUAUUAGUAAGGGAUAGGUUAAAUCUGAAUACCUUAUAAAAAAAUAAAGAUUAAUCGCUAAUAAAUGAGUCUAUGUUGGAUUAGGUAGUUGGUGGGUUAAAGCUUACCAAGCCGAUGAUCCAUAGCUGGUUUGGAAGAAUGAACAGCCACAUUGACACUGAGACAAGGGUCAAGCCUCGUAGGAGGACAGCAGUGAGGAAUAUUGGACAAUCUGUGAAAACAGGAUCCAGCCAUGACGCGUGAGUAUGACAGUGCAAGAUUUUAAAUCUCUACAAGAUUAAUAAAUAAUGAUAUGUUAAUCAUGAAUAAGGCUGACAAAGAUCUGUGCCAGCAGUCGCGGGAAUACAGGCAGCUUUAGUCUAUCUCAUUAUGAUUGGGUGUAAAGGGUGUGUAGGCGGUCAAUUACGUUUCAAUUUAAAAUUCAAAGCCCAACUUUGAUUAUAAAGUUGUUAAACGGAUUGAAUACUUGAGUGAGAAAGAGGAUAAUAGAAUUCCCAGUUUAAUGAUGGAAUAUUUUAACAUUGGGAGGAAUACCUAUGGCGAAGGCAAUUAUCUGGUUCUAUACUGACGCUGAGGCACGAAAGCUCAGGGAGUGAAAAGGAUUAGAGACCCUUGUAAUCUGAGCCCUAAACGAUGGAUGUUUCAUAUUGGAAUUUUUUCAGUAUGGUAGAUAACUCGAUAAACAUCCCACCUGAAGAGUACGAUCGCAAGAUUAAAACUCAAAAAAAUAGACGGUAUGUUAUCCUAUCGGUGGAACAUGUGGUUUAAUUCGAUGAUACGCGCGGAACCUUACCUAUUCUUGCAUAUUAUCCUUAUAACCCUUUAAUAUAAUAUUAAAGAGGUUAGGGAUAUUACAGGUGUUGCAUGGCCGUCGUCAGUUCGUGCUGUGAAGUGUUAGGUUAGUUCCCUAAAAACGAACGAAACCCCUUAAUUUAUUUAGUAUUUUAUCUUUCGAGUAAAACUACUUUAAAUUGACUUGACUAUUAUAAGUAGGAGGAAGGUGGGGAUGACGUCAGGUACUCAUGACCUUUAUGGAUAGGGCUACACAUGUGUUACAAUGGCUUCUACAAAUUAAUGUAUGAUCGUAAGAUUUAAACAAAUAAAUAAAAGUGGCCCCAGUUCAGAUUGAACUCUGCAACUCGAGUUCAUGAAGUAGGAAUCGAUAGUAAUCGGAAAUCAGAACGUUUCGGUGAAUAUGGCAAUGACAUGCGUACUAACCGCCCGUCAGGCCCGGGGAUAUGUCCUUAUGCUAAGUAAGUGGACUAACUAUAAUAUCUU
rnacentral:rRNA from 1 species